rnacentral:rRNA from 1 species
CGUUUGGACAAUGGGGGCAACCCUGAACCAGCCAUCCCGCGUGUGCGAUGAAGGCCUCAGGGUUGUAAAGCUCUUUCACCGGCGAAGAUAAUGACGGUAUCCGGAGAAGAACCCCGGGCUAACUUCGUUCCAGCAGCCGCGGUAAUACGAAGGGGGCUAGCGUUGUUCGGAAUUACUCGGCGUAAAGCGCACGUAGGCGGAUUACUAAGUCAGGGGUGAAAUCCCGCAGCUCAACUGCGGAACUGCCUUUGAUACUGGUAAUCUAGAGAACGAGAGAGGUAAGUGGAACUCCUAGUGUAGAGGUGGAAUUCGUAGAUAUUAGGAAGAACACAAGUGGCGAAGGCGGCUUACUGGCUCGGAACUGACGCUGAGGUGCGAAAGCGUGGGGAGCAAAC